GCUUAAGUAGUUUAAAAAUAAAAUAGUAAUUUGUGGUGUUACUGAUACAUGAAAUGUCUUGGGCU
rnacentral:tRNA from 1 species